rnacentral:misc_RNA from 1 species
CCCCCACCCCCCCUUCCGCGAGACCGAGAGAGAGAGAGGGAAGGAAGGAGAGAAAAGGGGGGGGGCAGCCCAGCCCCCGCGUCGUCCGAAGCCGAAGCUGCGCAGCGGUCCCGGCUCCUUGCCCGCGGCGUCGCGGGAAGGGCCGGCCGCCGGGGUCGGCCGUCGCCGCGGGGCGUCCCGCCUCUCCCCCCGCCGCGCGGCGGGCGGAGGCGGGUUAGCCCCGCGCCUGCGCGGUGCCGUUCCCCGCCCCAGGCGCCGCCGGGCCGCCACGUCGCCGGCCGCCGCCGCCGCCGCCGGCACGCCCGUCGCCGCCACGCCGCCGCCGCCGGCACGCCCGUGAUGCCGCUCCCGCGGGUCGGAGCGGUGAAAGGAGCCGGGGGCGGUCAGGGGUUGGCGGGGGCGGUCCCGCCGGCGGCGGGUCCGGGCGUCCGCGCGCUGGCGCGCCUUGGCGCGGCGCCGCCGUGGGUGGCGGC